rnacentral:rRNA from 1 species
ACGGGAGGCAGCAGUGGGGAAUAUUGGACAAUGGGCGCAAGCCUGAUCCAGCAAUGCCGCGUGAGUGAUGAAGGCCUUCGGGUUGUAAAGCUCUUUCGCACGCGACGAUGAUGACGGUAGCGUGAGAAGAAGCCCCGGCUAACUUCGUGCCAGCAGCCGCGGUAAUACGAAGGGGGCUAGCGUUGUUCGGAAUUACUGGGCGUAAAGGGCGCGUAGGCGGUACUUCAAGUCAGGCGUGAAAGCCCCGGGCUCAACCUGGGAACCGCGCUUGAGACUGGAGAACUUGAGUUCGGGAGAGGAUGGUGGAAUUCCCAGUGUAGAGGUGAAAUUCGUAGAUAUUGGGAAGAACACCGAUGGCGAAGGCAGCCAUCUGGACCGACACUGACGCUGAGGCGCGAAAGCGUGGGGAGCAAACAGGAUUAGAUACCCUGGUA